rnacentral:tRNA from 2 species
GGGGGUAUAGCUUAGUGGUAGAGCAUUUGAUUGCAGCUCAAGAGGUCUCUGGUUCAAUUCCAGAUACUCCCU